rnacentral:rRNA from 1 species
UACGUAGGGGGCAAGCGUUGUCCGGAAUCAUUGGGCGUAAAGCGCGUGUAGGCGGUCCGGUAAGUCCGCUGUGAAAGUCGGGGGCUCAACCCUCGGAUGCCGGUGGAUACUGUCGGGCUUGAGUACGGAAGAGGCGAGUGGAAUUCCUGGUGUAGCGGUGAAAUGCGCAGAUAUCAGGAGGAACACCAAUUGCGAAGGCAGCUCGCUGGGACGUUACUGACGCUGAGGAGCGAAAGCGUGGGUAGCAAACAGG